UACUUCUUAGAAGUUAUACAAAAAGAACGAAGUAGACUUCGACUUCGGCUUCUGGCUCUGAUGCAGGAGCUGGAAGCAGCCCUCUGCUCCUGUUCAGGACUAGAAACACUGAAUGGGAUACAGAAGACAAGUUGUGGACGUUCACUCACUGAAUGGAAUAAUAUGUAGCAAUGGAAACGAACGAGGAACUGCAAGGAGCAGAGACGCGUGAAUCUCACAGACAUAACCCUAGGCAAAAGGAACGGGAUGCAAGAAGAACCAGAUGACAGAUGUGAUAUAUAAGAAGAGUGGAGCUCUCCUUUCCCUACUCCUCCCCACCCCCGGAGGAAGUGUGAUGUACACUCUUCUCCCCUUUUGAUGCAUUUACACAUGUUAAUGUUAAUCACGUAUCGUUUUGCUGCUUGCUGUUUCCACUAAGUAAUAUAUUUUGGAGACCUUCCUGUUGCCGUAUUUCUAACGCAUUCUGCUUUCUGAACAAUGGGUAAUCUACCGUAAUUUACUCACCUAUGCCCCUCCCUUAUUCAUAGUAAAUUAGGUUUUUAGUUUUUUGCUACUUCAUACAAUCCCAUGGUGGGCAUUCUUGGCCCCAUAUACAUGAAUUUGAAAAAUGAGUUGUGUGGGGCCCAGGAAGAGCUCUAGGAGGGGAUUGGCCACAUCAAUUGAUAUGUGCAUUUGAAAUUUUGAUGAAUGUUCUCCAAAGGUCUUCAUCAGGUGCCUUCAUCAGUUUAUACUCACAGUGUGUAUGAGAAUGUCUGUUACUUCACGUUUUUGCCAACUAAUCUAUCUUUCUACUUUGGAUUAAAAAAUUCUCUUUUCCCUGACUAAUGCAGCUCUAUAUGAAUAUUAAUUGUGUGUGAAUUAUUAAUUUUCUGUGAAUUGCCCGUUUAUUUCCUUUGCCAAUUUUGAUAAUUGCAUUGUCUUUUUCUUUUUGCUUUGUUAGAAACGCUAUAUGUUCUGGAUAGUAAUCCUUCAUCUGAGUGUGUAAUUUAAUUUUUUCCCCACAUGAACAGCUAAUCGCUCCAUGCUCACUUGUGGGUUAGUCCAUCGUUUCUCUAUUGAACUACUACCUCAAUGGUAUACUCAAUUUUCAUGUAUACUUGACUUUGUUGCUGGCAUUAUUAUUCUGACCCACUGAUCUAUUUGUUAGUAUCUGCACCAGUGCUAGACCGUUUUAACUACUACAGCUUACCAUGCAUUUUGACAUCUGGUAGGAUAAGACCCAAAUAAGAAAUGCUGUUGAAUUUAGACUGGAAUGGCAUUGAGAGAUAAAUGUGGGGGAAAUCAGGGUAUUUUCAAUACCAAAUCUCCCCCAAUAGGUUUACAACUUAAUUUGUCUAGGUUCUUAUGUCAUUUUUAUCUCCAAAUAGAUAUUGCACACUUAAAAAUUAUAUUUGUUUUCUAGGAAUUUUAUGGUUUUUGUGUAAAAUGAGUUCUUUUAAAAUUAUUAUUCCAUUAAUACUAGUAUAUUGAGAUGCUAUUGGAAUAAGCAUAUAGAUGUGUCUCUCCAUAGUUUUUAAGUUUUUUUCUUAUUAGUUCUGGUAGUUUUCUCUUGGUUCCCUUGGAUUUUUUUAGGUGGGUAUCAGAAAGGGUAUUAUCUCCCAGUUUGUUUUCCUUGUUCAUUACCUGUUUUUUUCCCACUAAGCUGUCACCCCAGAAGAACAGGUCCCUCUCUGCCUGGGCACUGCCUUAUGUCACAGAGUAGAUGCUUGGGGCAUACUUAGGGAACAGAGACGCAUUUGGUUUUCAUUUUGUUUUUUCCAGACAAGGGGCGUGGGAGACAGUAUCUCUCCGUCUCUUUAGCUUGGGAACAAGUUGAAUUUUGUUGUCUUCACUGCAUGCGAGUGGGCUGGCUCAGGAUUCUAACACUGAAGUGCCAGCCCCUGCGUGUGCAAAGUGAAGACAAUGAAAGUGCUCAUGUCACGGUGUUUUUAAGCGCACUAAAUGAAAAAUGUAUACCAAGCAUUUCUCACUGUGGGAUACGUGUAGCUAGCCCAUGUCCAGGAAAUGCUUACUGUCUUUUUAGUCCCUCAUGAAACGUGGAGGGGCCUUCCUGAGCCUCAGUUUCUUCUCAGUGUCCGAGGCAGAAAGGAAUCCCUGCCCUGCGGAAUCACGGGGUGAUAUGGGAUCAAAAGACAGCAUGGAAUUUGAAAACAGUGACGUGUCAUGAGAAUAUUGUGAUUAUUUCCUGCAUUGCCCAAGAAAGAGCCCCUUCAGUGAAAAGAAGCUGGGAGGCAGUGUGUCCUGUGGGCAGAGAAUAGACCUGGGGCUGGACCAUCCUUCGCUCAUGGUGUUUACCAGCUGUGUGACUUUCGGCAGAUCACAAACCCCUCUGACCCUCAUCUUCAUUGUUAUUACUGUUCCUUCUGCAAAGUGAUAAUAACACCUGUUUCACGGGGUUACCGUGGGGAUUAAAUGAAAAGGAAUACAUAAAGACCCAGUUUAGCAUUUUUCACAGAAGUGGGUAUUUAAUAAAUGAUACCUAUUAAUAUUAUAUUUGUAUGAAAAGGAUUGGCAAGCCAUGAUUUAGAACAUUCUCUUUCCAAUUUUCCAUCAUCGAAAUAAUCACACUUCUCACAUCCUCACUGGCAGAUUUCACAGCUAGUGCAUUCAGGAAAAGUUAUUUAUUUGAAUAACAAAUUCUUUGCCCAUUUCCCAACCUGCGCAUUGGAGCAGAGGUUAGUGGAGGUGGGCAGCGUGGGGUGGAUGGAAGAAAGGGUGAUGGCGGUCAGAAAGCUUACUUGGGUAGGGCCCUCGCUGGGUUCCAGGCAUGCCCUCACUCAGCCUCAGCUUACAGAUAAGAAAGCAGAAGCCCAGAGAGGCUAGGUAACUUGCCCAAGGCCACAUACCUUUAGAGGUAGAGGCCAGAAUUGAGUCAGCAGCUGGACUUCAGAAUCUUCUACGACAAUGGAAGAACCCUAAGCCUCCAGUGUGCUGCUUUUCAUGGGUUUAGGUUACUUGCUCACAAUACAGGCUUGACGAAUGCUUUUUUGAAUGAAUGAAGAAUCACUGAAUAAAUGCAUAAACAAAGGUAGUCCUCCUCAGAAGAUCCCCAUAAACAAGACCAUACGAGUAUGCUGUGAGACCAUAUACUUAUAGAAGCGUAGGAGUGUGCUGUGAACAAGACUACAAGGGACGCCCAAGAGAACCAUGCCAUUCACUUUCAGCCUGGAACUCUAGGUAAUGAUCACUCUUAGCAUCUCUUCUUGGCAUAGAUUUCCUCCUAUUAAUUAUACUGACCCAUGUGGUUGGCUGGCUAGCUGCUCAGCAAACCAAGUCUAUGUUUCCCAGCUUCUUUCCCAUCAAAGUGUGCUAUGACAAGGAUUCUUGCCAAUGGGAUACGACCGGAAUGAGGGGUAUGACUUUCUGGCUGUGAGAGGUAGGCGUGUGCCUUCUCUUUCCUUCCAUUUUCCUCAUCUGCUGAUUGUAGGUGGGACAUCCGGAAGCCCCAGAGGGCGAGGACAGAGCCACAAUGUAGAAGGGGCCCAGGUCGUCGGAAGCCUCCUUGCCAACCAGCAACAUCAGUGUUGGAUGUUCCCAUGAGCCAUACGACAUUUAUGGUGUUAAACCACUGAAAUUUGGAGAUGUAGUCCAGCUCUGAACAUAAUUUCACUCAAACCCCUGAUUCCUUCUGAAUUAUCGAAUCUCCUCAGAGAGUUCUUACAGCUGCUCCCAGGAGCCUCCAUGAACUGGAUCUCAGGACCGGGGGCAGAAACUCAUCCUUCUACUCAGGAAUGUGAAGACUUCCUUCAGGAGUUCGGACGGCUUCUAAGGUAAAUGAACAAAGGCCAGAAGUGUCUUUUGUGCAAUAAAAAUAUAAGGAAUGAAAUAACAAGUGGAGGCUAACCCUGACUGGCGAACGAAGCAGUCACAACACACAUAGCUAUGAGAUGCCCCAAAUGCUGACAAGAAUGGUUGUGAAGAUGGUCAACCUCUGAUGGCCUUCCUGGAAUCUCCUUAGAGAUAGCCCUCGAGAGAAAUCCCUACCAAGGAGACCCUUUCUUCCAGGUGUCUCCACUGGGAAAGCGAGCUGUGCAGAUAACUCAACAGAACCAAAGGCUAAAGGAAGACAAAAACGAAUUCCAGUAUUUUCUCUGAGUGUAAGGAAAAAAGACCCGAAGAAAAUCCUAUGGUCAAUGGACUAGGAAAGGAAGGAAACUCUGGCAUUCCAACUUAAAGGAACACAAGGUGAGGCUACAAUGAGAAGACAGCCGUCUACAAAUCAGGAAGCGGGUCCUCACCAGAUGCCAGAUCUGCCGGCACCCUGACUUUGGACUUCCCAGCCUCCAGAACUGUGAGAAAUAAAUGCUGUUGAAGCCACCAGGGCUGUGGUAAUUUCUUAUAGUAUCCUGAACUGACUAAGAUACUAAGACAGUAGGAGUCUAAAAAAAUAAGAAGACAACAAUACUGGCCCAGUUGCUUAGAGGUGAUAAAUUUAUGCAGUAUUUAAGUAUGUAAGAAACAGCACUAGAUAAUAUCACC